UCGAAGUGCUCUAAAAUCUUAAAGCUGCUGUUUUAUUCAUCUUGGUGUCUUUCCUGGCUGUGAAGAAUUGCAGGGAGAUGAGGAGGAAGAGAGUGUUGGAGCUGCAGAGGAUGAAUAAAAAUAUAGAUGUGCUGGAGAGACUCCUGGAAAUUCGACAAGAGGUCUUCUGCAGCUUCAUCAUUCCAAAGUUUUUCCGGGAGCAGCUGGAGGAAGAGAUCAUGCACACAGCAGACACUUUGGUGUUGGAGCGCGACGUCAAGAAGGACUUGGAAGAAAUCUUUCGUGUGGAUGACAACUGCGCUUCUGAUUUCCUGAGCGCAGUAACCGGAAUUGAAAUGAGUCACGGAAAACAAAUGUGGGGAAAAAACAGGAGAAUGGAGGCGAGAUCUUAGGAAGACCAUUCAAGAGGAAGGCUUUGCAAACCUUCUUCAAGAUUUAUAGAGGUGCUUAAAUGUUCAGCUGCAGCUUGAAAGGAACUUCACCACAAAAUUCACAACGUAACUUUUUGGGUGUUUGGUUAAAAAUAAUCUAUAGUUGUAGUUAUAUAUGUUAUAAAGCUCUUUUUUUUUUUUGCUUUCAUUUCCCAUAUCCCUAUUUCAGUUUGGUGGCUGUCAGUCAAUUCCUGUUGGAAUCAAAUUACAUGUUUUCUAUUG